rnacentral:lncRNA from 1 species
UGGUAAUACAGUAACUAUACGCAAGAGGAACCAGCUUUUGCCAUGGCCUGUUUUGAAAGAGUUACUUCACGGAUUUCCCCACUCCCUAAGACUGCAGAACUACCCAGCCCUGAAGCAGCCCCAGCUCACAUAUAACCCAGAAUUUAAGGAGAAGUGUACUUUUCUCUCUGCAGCAGAUGGGAUAGAAAGUAAACCAACUGGUGCAAAUCAUACAGCCAUGACCACCUUGCUCCGG